UCAGACGAUGCGUCAUGCAUAUCAAUAAGCGGAGGAAAAGAAACUAACAAGGAUUCCCCUUAGUAACGGCGAGUGAAGCGGGAAGAGCUCAAAUUUGAAAUCUUCAAGGUUUUACCUUGACGAAUUGUAGUUUAAAGAAGUGUUUUCGGUUAGAGGAGUGGUAAAAGUUCUUUGGAAUAGGACAUCAUAGAGGGUGAGAAUCCCGUAUUUGACCAUUCUUUUCUAGCUUUGUGAUACACUUUCAAAGAGUCGGAUUGUUUGGGAAUGCAGUCCAAAAUGGGUGGUAAAUUUCAUCUAAAGCUAAAUAUUGGCGAGAGACCGAUAGCGAACAAGUACCGUGAGGGAAAGAUGAAAAGAACUUUGAAAAGAGAGUUAAACAGUACGUGAAAUUGUCAAAAGGGAAGCGUUUGACACCAGUGUUGUUUUUCCGAAAAUCAAUUAAAAAUAGAUUCAUGCUAAGUAGUAUUGACCUCAUCAGCUUGCUGCUUAGUUUUGGGUCAUUUUUUGAUGCACUUUUCGGUUAACAAGUCAACAUCAAUUUCUUUUGCCGUAAAAAGGUAGAAGGAAGGUGGCUUUAGUUUCGGCUGAAGUGUUUAUAGCCUUCUGCCCCUGCGGUCGGAGAGAUUGAGGUCUGCAGCGUAGAUCCUUCGGGGCUAGAUACGUUUGUGCUAAGUUAUAGCCUUUCAUAGACAACUUGUUGACUAUGAUCAGUCAUGUAGCUUACUCGCUUAUGCUAUUUUACCUACGCUUAGGAUGUUGAUAUGCAUGACUGAUAU
rnacentral:rRNA from 1 species